AUGGACAUGGUCAAGGCAUAUGAAAUAAUCUUGUUUUUCAUUGCUCAUGUAGUGGCUGGCCUGCAGCAACACCUAGUUUGCGACCUUCAAAGUUUCAUAAGAAUAAGAAGAUCAUAUCUUUGGCAGCCUCCACUCUUGUUUUGGCUUUCCACUCCUGAGCUAGGGUUGCCGCCGCUGGCGCCGCCGCCGCCGCCACUGCCGCCCCAUCGCUCCUCCGGCGCUGGCCAUCGAAGGAAGGUCAUCUUCUCCUCUUGGUGGCUUCCUCAUAGCAAGGUGUGGCGCUACUCCUCCGCACAACCCCGUCGGCAAGAGCGAGAAGGCGGGCGGCACCGCGAGCUCUCGUCCCGAGGAAGCCGUGGGAGGACGACGUUCAUGCGGUCAUCCGCGCUUCUUCCGACGGCGAGGCCAGCCUCCUUUUCACCUCUGCUAGACCCACAGGCUGGCAUAACCGGAUGUGAGAAGAUAGUUGAGAAUCUUCUGUUUGCAAUUAAGAACCCUGCACAGCUAGAUGUUUCACUGUCAGUCCUGAAUCCCGUGACCACACUGCCGGGUCAUAAGGCGGUGGUGAACUGCACGCUGUGGCUUCCAACCAAGAAGGGUGCAUUCAAGUUGGCUGGUGGUUUGUUAAUUUGUUCCUCUGUAAUUCGAAGCAGGGAGACACACUAUCUAUUGUCCGGAAGUUCUGAUGGUGCUAUUAUGACGUGGAAGAUUGGUUCUGGAAUAGGCAAGGAAAAAGUUUGCCUGUUUAUCUUAAUCAAGUCGGCGGGCAUGGCGCUGCUGCAUCAUACUUGCAUGGCCCGAUGGCGCCCGUCAUCGUCCAUGAGCAGGACAAACAGCUGGCAAUGGAGCCGCUCUGGGCUCCAAGACGAGCCGCUCUGGGCGCUCCGCCGUGCCGCCGGUUCCUCCGGCAAUAUCAUGAACACCAAGGAAUACGCGCAAAUGAUCAGCUGGCCCAUCAACUCCAGCAAGAAGCAAUAG
rnacentral:rRNA from 1 species